rnacentral:rRNA from 1 species
GCCAGACUCCUACGGGAGGCAGCAGUGGGGAAUAUUGCGCAAUGGGCGAAAGCCUGACGCAGCGACGCCGCGUGAGGGAUGAAGGUCUUCGGAUCGUAAACCUCUAUCAGCAGGGAAGAAGAUGACGGUACCUGACUAAGAAGCCCCGGCUAACUACGUGCCAGCAGCCGCGGUAAUACGUAGGGGGCAAGCGUUAUCCGGAUUUACUGGGUGUAAAGGGAGCGUAGACGGCGAUGCAAGCCAGAUGUGAAAGCCCGGGGCUCAACCCCGGGACUGCAUUUGGAACUGUGUGGCUGGAGUGUCGGAGAGGCAGGCGGAAUUCCUAGUGUAGCGGUGAAAUGCGUAGAUAUUAGGAGGAACACCAGUGGCGAAGGCGGCCUGCUGGACGAUGACUGACGUUGAGGCUCGAAAGCGUGGGGAGCAAACAGGAUUAGAUACCCCAGUAG